AUUGAACGCUGGCGGCAGGCCUAACACAUGCAAGUCGAGCGGAUGAAGGGAGCUUGCUCCUGGAUUCAGCGGCGGACGGGUGAGUAAUGCCUAGGAAUCUGCCUGGUAGUGGGGGAUAACGUCCUGAAACGGGCGCUAAUACCGCAUACGUCCUGAGGGAGAAAGUGGGGGAUCUUCGGACCUCACGCUAUCAGAUGAGCCUAGGUCGGAUUAGCUAGUUGGUGGGGUAAAGGCCUACCAAGGCGACGAUCCGUAACUGGUCUGAGAGGAUGAUCAGUCACACUGGAACUGAGACACGGUCCAGACUCCUACGGGAGGCAGCAGUGGGGAAUAUUGGACAAUGGGCGAAAGCCUGAUCCAGCCAUGCCGCGUGUGUGAAGAAGGUCUUCGGAUUGUAAAGCACUUUAAGUUGGGAGGAAGGGCAGUAAGUUAAUACCUCGCUGUUUUGACGUUACCAACAGAAUAAGCACCGGCUAACUUCGUG
rnacentral:rRNA from 1 species